rnacentral:rRNA from 1 species
GACGAACGCUGGCGGCGCGCUUAACACAUGCAAGUCGAGCGAAGCGGCGGACGGGUGCGUAACACGUGAGUAACCUGCCUUAGACAUUGGGAUAGCCUCGGGAAACCGGGAUUAAUACCAAAUGGUCUAAGAUGGACUCGCGUCCCAUUAGCGAGUUGGUGAGGUAACGGCCCACCAAGGCGACGAUGGGUAGCCGGACUGAGCGGGUGACCGGCAACAUUGGAACUGAGAAACGGUCAAAACUCUACGGGGGGCAGCAGUGGGGAAUAUUGCACAAUGGAGGGAAAUCUGAUGCAGCGACGCCGCGUGAACGAAGAAGUCUUUCGAGUCGUAAAGUACUUUUAUAUGGGAAGCGGUACCAUAAGAAAAAGCCCCGGCUAACUACGUGCCAGCAGCCGCGGUAAUAC